AGGGAUGAAAUAGAGGCUUUGAUUCGAUGAGGCUAUCUUGAGAAGUUUCGACGAGAUCAUCCGACUCAACCUCCCACCGACCAACAGCCUCAGCCACAAGCUAAGGAAACGAUCAAUAAUCGGCUAAUGACGAGAGUAAUAUUCAUAAUCUCUGGAAGACCAAAGGAUCGGGGGGCAACUUCUGAAGAAGUGUCGAUGAAGAAA
rnacentral:lncRNA from 1 species